GAUAAACGCUGACAGAAUGCUUAACACAUGCAAGUCUAUGACCUGGCGGACGGGUGAGUAACGCGUAAAGUAUUUGCCCUUUAGACUGGGAUAAAAGAGGGUAACUUCUGAUUAUACUGGAUACUAAAGGAGAGCUUUUCGUCCUAUUCGCUAGUUGGUAAGGUAAGAGCUUACCAAGGCGAUGAUAGGUCGCCGGCCUGCGAGGGUGGACGGCCACAAGGGGACUGAGAUACGGCCCUUACUCCUACGGGAGGCAGCAGUGGGGAAUAUUGGACAAUGGAGGGAACUCUGAUCCAGCAAUUCUGUGGGUGGGAAGAAGGUUUUAGGACGGAAAAACACUUUUAGUAGGGAAGCGGUACCUACAGAAGAAGCAACGGCUAAAUACGUGCCAGCAGCCGCGGUAAUAC
rnacentral:rRNA from 1 species